UACAGAGGUGGCAAGCGUUGUUCGGAAUUACUGGGCGUAAAGGGCGCGUAGGCGGACAGUUUAGUCAGAGGUGAAAGCCCAGGGCUCAACCUUGGAAUUGCCUUUGAUACUGGCUGUCUUGAGUUCGGGAGAGGUGAGUGGAAUGCCGAGUGUAGAGGUGAAAUUCGUAGAUAUUCGGCGGAACACCAGUGGCGAAGGCGACUCACUGGCCCGAUACUGACGCUGAGGCGCGAAAGCGUGGGGAGCAAACAGG
rnacentral:rRNA from 1 species